rnacentral:lncRNA from 1 species
ACAUCUACGCAUGAACCUAGAUCAUGAUGCCACUAUUGGGGAACGUUGCAUGGGAAACAAAAAAAUUCCUACGCACACGAAGACCUAUCAUGGUGAUGUCCAUCUACAAGAGGAGAUUUGGAUCUACGUACCCUUGUAGAUCGCACAACCAGAAGCGUGAAGAAAUACAGUUUAUGUAGUAGAACGUCCUCACGUCCCUCGAUCCGCCCCGUGAACCGUCCCACUAACCGUCCCGCGAUCCGUCCCACGAUCCGUUCCAAUCUAGUGCCGAACGGACGACACCUCUGCGUUCAGCACACGUACAACUCGACGAUGAUUUCGGCCUUCUUGAUCGAGCAAGCAAGAUAGAGAAGUAGAUGAGUUCUCCGGCAGCGUGACGGCGCUCCGGUGGUGGUGAGGAUCUAUUCCUGCAGGGCUCCGCCCGAGCUCUGCAGAAAUACGAUCUAGAGGUAAAACUAUGGUGUCUAGAUCUGAGUUGCAC